GGGAUUUUGUGCGAUAUUUGUAGACGGGCGGUUCGAAUGUAGGAAAACUGGUGGCGAUUUCGCAACAAAUUCUCACCUGUAAAACCUGCGGAAACUUACCUGCUCGAAGACUCCAAGUACGAAGAUUCAAACGCCUACACAUAGGGUAACUGUUCCAUGAUUGAACCAAAGUAAAGGAACUCAGUGCCAGAAGAGUAGUGAAGGAGGAAACCAAUUCUUGUGAGUGGUUAAAGGAAAGGUGUGUAAAUUUAAACUAAAAUAAACAAAUAUUUACAGUUUGAGUUGCUGAACAACAAAAC